ensembl:lncRNA
GUUUCAGUGUCCUGGAAACACCCUAUGGGUACUCACUCCUUGGAACCAGAGACAGGCGGUGCCCAGGCAACAGAGGGGUUCAUUGUCAUUGCUGCCUUCUCUUGAGAAUGUUUAACCCAGUGGCAGAAUGCCUCUGCCUUCUCCCAUGGGUCCAGGAGCCUGCAAGUAGGCAGUCUUAUAUUACUCCUGGGUGGGAACAAAGGCAUGUGGAAGAGUUCAAGGGACUCUCAAGACUCCUCCAGCACCACAGUUUGAAAGCAUCGGUUCUUCAGCACUCAGCCUUCUUUAUGGUUCAACUCUCACAUUUGCACAUGACUACUGGAAAAACCAUAGCUUUGACCAUAUGAACCUUUGUCGGCAAGGCGAUGUCUCUGCUUUUUAAUAUGUAGUCUAGGUUUGUCAUAGCUUUUCUUUCAAAGAACAAUAGGGUUUUUUGGUUUUGUUUUUGUGUUUUUAAUUUCAUGGCUGCAGUCAUUGUCCCCAGCGAGUUUGAAGGCCAAGAAAACAAAGUCUGUCGCUGUUUCCAUUUGUUUUUUGUUGUUGUUGUUUUCCUGGCAUGGCACAGUUUGAGUCCAGUUCUAGAGGAAACAGCGAUAGUGGACGGCCUUUACACGGUAACUGAAGAUGAAGUGGGUGUGCUCAGUUUAUUCAGUACCGCUGUGUAACCUCAAGGGGCCUGUGUCAGCGGCCACACAAUUUUCCAGUUGGGGGCAGACUAAUGUAACUCCAUGUUUAUUGCUCGAAAUCAAGCUGAAAUUUCAAAUUAGUGACAGGAAAGAGAAAUAAAAUAUUGAUUUAUUUGUGUUUUUUUAAAAUUAAUGUUAGAAUCUUUUCUAAUGAGUUUUGAUGGCUUUCCCAUCAUAUAAGCCCUUCAUUGCUUUGUAUCUCCAUCUUUUCAUGCUUCUGUUUCCUUACAUAACACUAGCCAUUAGAGCUGGGGGUGUAAAAGUCCUCUCUUUAGCACUCAAAGUCACCUAACACAGUUUUCUUCUCUUGAUUCAACUGCUUUCCAUCCAUUUUGAGCUUGCUAAUAUAAAAGAACCACCUGUUCUUUACAAUUUCAUAAUUACCUUUUAUUUUUCCUACUUGAAACCAUACUAAUUUGUCUUACCCUCGGGUUAGAUUUUGGAUUUAAAAGCUACAUAAAAUAAAGUGCCAUAUUAAUGUGACACUUACUGUUCUUGAUUUCUGUGUGACUUAUAUAAACUAGUGUCAAAGCGUUAUUGUCAGCAGUCAGAAAAGCUACACAUUUCCUGCUAGGAAAUAUAUUGCUGUGUACCUAUUCAAGAAUGUAGAAGUUAUUUUUGGUUUUUCUCUGGUUUUUAUUUAUUUAAUUUCUUUAAUUCUUACAUGCGUUCCCAAACAUGAACCCCCCUCCCACGUCCCUCCCAUAACAUCUCUGUGGGUCAUCCCCAUUCACCAGCCCCAAGCAUGCUGUAUCCUGCGUCAGACAUAGACUGGCGAUUCAAUUCUUACAUGAUAGUAUACAUGUUAGAAUGCCAUUCUCCCAAAUCAUCCCACCCUCUCCCUCUCCCUCUGGUUUUUAAAAUAAGACCAACUCUGAUAGAAUUUUUCACUAUCAG